rnacentral:tRNA from 1 species
GAGGGUACAGCUCAAGUGGUAGAGUGCAUGCUUAGCAUGCACAAGGUCCUGGGUUCAAUCCCCAGUACCUUCU